UUAGAGUUUGAUCCUGGCUCAGGAUGAACGCUGGCGGCGUGCAUAACACAUUCAAGUCGAACGGGAAUCCCGGAGCUUGCUCCGGGAGGAUAGUGGCGGACGGGUGAGUAACGCGUGAGCAACCUACCUUGGUGAGGGGAAUAACACAGGGAAACUUGUGCUAAUACCGCAUAAUAUGUCGGAGCCGCAUGAUUCUGACAUCAAAACUCCGGUGCACUGAGAUGGGCUCGCGUCCGAUUAGAUAGUUGGUGGGGUAACGGCCUACCAAGUCGACGAUCGGUAGCCGGACUGAGAGGUUGAACGGCCACAUUGGAACUGAGAUACGGUCCACACUCCUACGGGAGGCAGCAGUGGGGAAUAUUGGGCAAUGGGCGAGAGCCUGAACCAGCCAUGUCGCGUGGAGGAAUAAGGAUCUAUGGUUCGUAAACUCCUUUUGCGGGGGGAUAAAGUGCGGGACGCGUCCCGUAUUGCAGGUACCCCGCGAAUAAGCAUCGGCUAACUCCGUGCCAGCAGCCGCGGUAAUACGGAGGAUGCGAGCGUUAUCCGGAUUUAUUGGGUUUAAAGGGUGCGUAGGCGGCCUCUUAAGUCGGCGGUGAAAUUUCCGGGCUCAAUCCGGUCACUGCCGUCAAAACUGGGGGGCUUGAGUGCGUUUGGGGUGGCUGGAAUGUGCGGUGUAGCGGUGAAAUGCAUAGAUAUCGCACAGAACGCCGAUCGCGGAGGCAGGUCACCAAGCCGCAACUGACGCUGAGGCACGAAAGCGCGGGGAUCGAACAGGAUUAGAUACCCUGGUAGUCCGCGCAGUAAACGAUGGACGCUCGCCGUCCGGCAUAGAGCCGGGUGGCCAAGCGAAAGCGAUAAGCGCCCCACCUGGGGAGUACGCCGGCAACGGUGAAACUCAAAGGAAUUGACGGGGGCCCGCACAAGCAGUGGAUUAUGUGGUUUAAUUCGAAGCAACGCGAAGAACCUUACCAGGGCUUGACAUCCUCUGACCGCUCUAGAGAUAGAGUUUCCCUUCGGGGCAGAGAGACAGGUGGUGCAUGGUUGUCGUCAGCUCGUGUCGUGAGAUGUUUGGUUAAGUCCAAUAACGAGCGCAACCCCUAUGGUCAGUUGCCAUCAUUUAGUUGGGCACUCUGGCAAGACUGCCGCGGACAACGCGGAGGAAGGAGGGGACGACGUCAAAUCAUCAUGCCCCUUAUGUCCUGGGCUACACACGUAAUACAAUGGCAACGACAGAGGGCAGCAAACCCGCGAGGGCAAGCAAGUCCCCAAACGUUGUCUCAGUUCGGACUGCAGGCUGCAACUCGCCUGCACGAAGUCGGAAUUGCUAGUAAUGGCAGGUCAGCAUACUGCCGUGAAUACGUUCCCGGGCCUUGCACACACCGCCCGUCAA
rnacentral:rRNA from 1 species